ACUCUGAAAGCAGGCAGACAAUCUGAUGGCGACUUUCAUAGCACUUAUGUUUUCGGCCCUUGCCGUGGCAGAGGCUUCCCUAGAUCUGCACGAAUUUGUCAAAAACCCGGAUCUUUCUAAGUAUCAAGACCCCUCAAAGUGAUUACAGGUCUACAAAUAUUACUCUUACCGUAAAAUCAGAAGUCUUUCAAACGCUUCUUAAUGUUGACCACAAAGGGGGAAAUUUUUCUAUUAUGAACAUCACUGGCCAGGAAUUCGCUAUAUCCUCCGCGAACUACACUUUCCUUGUACUUUUUAGUGACAGUAAUUGCCUCAUUCUGGCCCGAACGUUAAAAACAGCACACGCCCAACGCCCCUGGCUUCAAUGCUCCAUGUGGCUUCCACAACAUCGUAUAACAAAGCCACCAAAAUGUUGCCUGUUCGUUUUCGAACUUCUGUGCGCCUACUUGGUUGAUACUAUUGAAGUUUCUGACCAAAAAUGUCUUAAUACAACAUCAAGACGCUCCAAAUCUGCUUGAGAUCCUACGACAUCUACACUGUAUCUAAAGUGGUGACGGGAAUGAAUGAAUUGCCGCGUAUUAUUUUCAUCAGUGCGCAAAUAAAGGUUUUGCUUACGGAAACUGUUCA
rnacentral:misc_RNA from 1 species